rnacentral:rRNA from 1 species
UACGUAGGUGGCAAGCGUUGUCCGGAUUUACUGGGCGUAAAGAGCGCGCAGGCGGUCGUUCAAGUCGCGUGUGAAAGCCCCCGGCUCAACUGGGGAGGGUCACGCGAUACUGAUCGACUCGAAGGCAGGAGAGGGAAGUGGAAUUCCCGGUGUAGUGGUGAAAUGCGUAGAUAUCGGGAGGAACACCUGUGGCGAAAGCGGCUCUCUGGACCACAACUGACGCUGAGGCGCGAAAGCUAGGGGAGCAAACAGG